UUCUUUUAUCCCUGUGUCAUGGUUUUGUAAUUUUGUAAUUUUGCUAUCAGUAUUCCACAUCAUAACAUCAUGUAAAGCAUGGAUACUUUUAUUGAAUGUGCAGUCCACAGAAGAAGACUACAUAUCCCAGAGAACAACACUGUCAGUGAUAAGUCAUUGGACCAGGACGCUAUAUAAUCUUGUUCCCAGGCUGGAGUGCUCUCUCUCGGACUACUCAGAGAGUGGGAAGCAUUCCAGCCAUGUCGCCUAGAGUUCACAAUAUAUGCUACUGGAGAUCUUUCUUGAAAACUUACUGGAUAAAGGAAAGCAAAUACCUCUGAGAAAAGUAUGAACUGUUCACGUUGCAGAGGCAGUGAGAAGCUCUGCACCACGACAUACUGACUAACCAGCCAUUACUACCUUUCAUCCUGAUGGGACAGUUCAACGGAAAGUGUCAGCCUGAUGACCUUUCUGUGCAGAGUUUAGCAUAAUUCCAGAACUCUACUUCUCAACAAAAAGCAAUAAAAAAAAUGUUUA